AUUGAACGCUGGCGGCAGGCCUAACACAUGCAAGUCGAGCGGAUGAAGGGAGCUUGCUCCUGUAUUCAGCGGCGGACGGGUGAGUAAUGCCUAGGAAUCUGCCUGGUAGUGGGGGAUAACGUCCGGAAACGGGCGCUAAUACAGCAUACGUCAUGAGGGAGAAAGUGGGGGAUCUUCGGACCUCACGCUACCAGAUGAGCCUAGGUCGGAUUAGCUAGUUGGUAGGGUAAAGGCCUACCAAGGCGACGAUCCGUAACUGGUCUGAGAGGAUGAUCAGUCACACUGGAACUGAGACACGGUCCAGACUCCUACGGGAGGCAGCAGUGGGGAAUAUUGGACAAUGGGCGAAAGCCUGAUCCAGCCAUGCCGCGUGUGUGAAGAAGGUCUUCGGAUUGUAAAGCACUUUAAGUUGGGAGGAAGGGCAGUAAGUUAAUACCUUGCUGUUUUGACGUUACCAACAGAAAAAGCACCGGCUAACUUCGUG
rnacentral:rRNA from 1 species